rnacentral:other from 1 species
CGGUCCCUGCGCUGCGCGUGAUGUCGGGGGAAGGUUUCAACCUCGUUUACUGAACGGGAGCCACCAGCGAGGGUGGUGAGCCAGCCCCUCUCCGAAGGGGACGCCUGAAGCUCUCGCAGCACGGCCCCCACCUGGCGACGCCAGGUUCGAAACACCGCGGCACACGGCAGGGGUGGGGACCUC